AGAGUUUGAUCCUGGCUCAGGAUGAACGCUAGCUACAGGCUUAACACAUGCAAGUCGAGGGGCAGCAUCAUUAAAGCUUGCUUUGAUGGAUGGCGACCGGCGCACGGGUGAGUAACACGUAUCCAACCUGCCGACAACACUGGGAUAGCCUUUCGAAAGAAAGAUUAAUACCGGAUGGCAUAGUCUUCCCGCAUGGGAUGACUAUUAAAGAAUUUCGGUUGUCGAUGGGGAUGCGUUCCAUUAGGCAGUUGGCGGGGUAACGGCCCACCAAACCAACGAUGGAUAGGGGUUCUGAGAGGAAGGUCCCCCACAUUGGAACUGAGACACGGUCCAAACUCCUACGGGAGGCAGCAGUGAGGAAUAUUGGUCAAUGGGCGCAGGCCUGAACCAGCCAAGUAGCGUGAAGGAUGACUGCCCUAUGGGUUGUAAACUUCUUUUAUAAAGGAAUAAAGUCGGGUAUGGAUACCCGUUUGCAUGUACUUUAUGAAUAAGGAUCGGCUAACUCCGUGCCAGCAGCCGCGGUAAUACGGAGGAUCCGAGCGUUAUCCGGAUUUAUUGGGUUUAAAGGGAGCGUAGGCGGGUUGUUAAGUCAGUUGUGAAAGUUUGCGGCUCAACCGUAAAAUUGCAGUUGAUACUGGCGACCUUGAGUGCAACAGAGGUAGGCGGAAUUCGUGGUGUAGCGGUGAAAUGCUUAGAUAUCACGAAGAACUCCGAUUGCGAAGGCAGCUUACUGGAUUGUAACUGACGCUGAUGCUCGAAAGUGUGGGUAUCAAACAGGAUUAGAUACCCUGGUAGUCCACACAGUAAACGAUGAAUACUCGCUGUUGGCGAUAUACGGUCAGCGGCCAAGCGAAAGCAUUAAGUAUUCCACCUGGGGAGUACGCCGGCAACGGUGAAACUCAAAGGAAUUGACGGGGGCCCGCACAAGCGGAGGAACAUGUGGUUUAA
rnacentral:rRNA from 1 species